rnacentral:ncRNA from 1 species
AUGUGAGAAUGUGGGGGUACGAAUGUGGGGGUGUUUCUGAAUGGUAAUUUUUGUUGAACAUUGUGUUGUGAUGGGGCUACCAACCCUUAACUGUUUUGGAGUUUAAAUUGGAAGUGCCCUUCUGGUACGAGGCCUGACCGGAGGCUUUUAAUCUGGUACCACGGGUAACCAGGAGCCCACGGAACUUGUUCCGUCCUGGUUAGUUGGUGCGGCCCUUCGGGGAGUAUCGUGGUGGUUGUGGUUUAACACCCAAAUGCGGGUAGAGCAUCGCUCGACGUGGAGUUGCGUCAUACAACCGGGUUCCGUGACCCAGAUUACGGAAGAGGCUUAGAUAGUCCUCGUGCCAAACCAAGGUAGAAGUCACAACCAAACAGUCGUGUCUUUAAUUGGUACCUGCGGAAUUGUUCCAAGGGGGCGGUGAUUGACGCUUGAAUUAAUCCUAUACUAGGAACCGUGAGAUUAAGCCAUCGCGGCAGGUGCUCACGUUAAGCCCACUGACUUUCAUGUCCCUAUCUACUAUCUAGCGAAACCACAGCCAAGGGAACGGGCUUGGAAUAAUUAGCGGGGAAAGAAGACCCUUUUGAGCUUGACUCUAAUCUGGCAGUGUAAGGAGACAUAAGAGGUGUAGAAUAAGUGGGAGAUAUUAGACUUCGGUUUGGUAUCGACAAUGAAAUACCACUACUCUUAUUGUUUCCUUACUUACUUGAUUAAAUGGAACGUGUAUCAUUUCCUAGCCAUUAUACGGAUAUAAUUAUUAUGUCUUAUGGUAUUGGGUUUUGAUGCAAGCUUCUUGAUCAAAGU